GAUGAACGCUAGCGGCAGGCUUAACACAUGCAAGUCGAGGGGCAUCGGGAGGGAAGCUUGCUUUCCUUGCCGGCGACCGGCGCACGGGUGAGUAACACGUAUGCAACCUGCCCUCUUCAGGGGGACAACCUUCCGAAAGGGAGGCUAAUCCCGCGUAUAUCGGUUUCGGGCAUCCGGGAUCGAGGAAAGAUUCAUCGGAAGAGGAUGGGCAUGCGGCGCAUUAGCUUGACGGCGGGGUAAUGGCCCACCGUGGCGACGAUGCGUAGGGGUUCUGAGAGGAAGGUCCCCCACACUGGUACUGAGGCACGGACCAGACUCCUACGGGAGGCAGCAGUGAGGAAUAUUGGUCAAUGGGAGAGAUCCUGAACCAGCCAAGCCGCGUGAGGGAAGACGGCCCUAUGGGUUGUAAACCUCUUUUGUCGGAGAACAAAACCCGGGACGAGUCCCGGACUGCGUGUAUCCGAAGAAAAAGCAUCGGCUAACUCCGUGCCAGCAGCCGCGGUAAUACGGAGGAUGCGAGCGUUAUCCGGAUUUAUUGGGUUUAAAGGGUGCGUAGGCGGUCCGUUAAGUCAGCGGUAAAAUUGCGGGGCUCAACCCCGUCGAGCCGUUGAAACUGGCAGACUUGAGUUGGCGAGAAGUACGCGGAAUGCGCGGUGUAGCGGUGAAAUGCAUAGAUAUCGCGCAGAACUCCGAUUGCGAAGGCAGCGUACCGGCGCCACACUGACGCUGAGGCACGAAAGCGUGGGGAUCGAACAGGAUUAGAUACCCUGGUAGUCCACGCAGUAAACGAUGAAUGCUGGUUGUCCGGGUCGAAUGAGAUCUGGGCGGCGAAGCGAAAGCGAUAAGCAUUCCACCUGGGGAGUACGCCGGCAACGGUGAAACUCAAAGGAAUUGACGGGGGCCCGCACAAGCGGAGGAACAUGUGGUUUAAUUCGAUGAUACGCGAGGAACCUUACCCGGGCUCAAACGGGAGUGGAAUGAACCAGAGACGGUUCAGCCUACGGGCCGCUUCCGAGGUGCUGCAUGGUUGUCGUCAGCUCGUGCCGUGAGGUGUCGGCUUAAGUGCCAUAACGAGCGCAACCCCCGCCGGCAGUUGCUAACGGGCAAUGCCGAGGACUCUGCCGGGACUGCCGCCGCAAGGCGUGAGGAAGGCGGGGAUGACGUCAAAUCAGCACGGCCCUUACGUCCGGGGCGACACACGUGUUACAAUGGGCGGUACAGCGGGAAGCCAGGCGGCGACGCCGAGCGGAACCCGAAAGCCGUUCUCAGUUCGGAUCGGAGUCUGCAACCCGACUCCGUGAAGCUGGAUUCGCUAGUAAUCGCGCAUCAGCCAUGGCGCGGUGAAUACGUUCCCGGGCCUUGUACACACCGCCCGUCAAGCCAUGGGAGCCGGGGGUGCUUGAAGUGCGUCGCCGUGAGGCGCGCCCUAGAGCAAAACCGGUGACUGGGGCU
rnacentral:rRNA from 1 species